AUUGAACGCUGGCGGCAGGCCUAACACAUGCAAGUCGAACGAGUGGCGGACGGGUGAGUAAUGUCUGGGAAACUGCCUGAUGGAGGGGGAUAACUACUGGAAAAGGUAGCUCAUACCGCAUACCAUCCGAUGCGCCCAGAUGGGAUUAGCUUGUUGGCGGGGUAACGGCUCACCAAGGCCACGAUCCCUAGCUGGUCUGAGAGGAUGACCAGCCACACUGGAACGGAGACGCGGUCCAGAGUCGUGCGGGAGGCAGCAGUGGGGAAUAUUGCACAAUGGGCGCAAGCCUGAUGCAGCCAUGCCGCGUGUAUGAAGAAGGCCUUCGGGUUGUAAAGUACUUUCAGCGGGGAGGCGUUACCCGCAGAAUAAGCACCGGCUAACUCCGUGCCAGCAGCCGCGGUAAUUC
rnacentral:rRNA from 1 species